rnacentral:ncRNA from 1 species
UGAAGUGGGGAAAUGUUCCAUGUGAACAUCACUUGGACAUGGUCGGUUAGUCAAUCCUAAGAGAUGGGGAAUCCUUGCAUCAAGGGUGCACUCUGCAAUAUUCCCGAACUGGGACAUGGUGGUGAACAACAAUGUUAGGAAAUCUGGAGAUGUCAUCGGGGGCCUAGGAAGAGUUAUCUUUUCUUUUUAACGACUUUCCCACCCUGAAAUCAGUUCAACCGGAGAUAGGGUCCAACAUCUGAAAGAGCACCACAUGUCUUGCGGUUUUUGGUGCCCCCUUAGCAGCCAUUGUUAAUAUGGUGAACCGAGUACCAUCCUUGCUCGAUCGUACUCAUAUCUGCCUCCUUGGAAUUUUCAAUGUCCACUA